rnacentral:rRNA from 1 species
AACGCUAGCUACAGGCUUAACACAUGCAAGUCGAGGGGCAUCAGGGUAGCAAUACCGCUGGCGACCGGCGCACGGGUGAGUAACACGUAUCCAACCUACCGUUAACUCGGGGAUAGCCUUUCGAAAGAAAGAUUAAUACCCGAUAGUAUAUUUUCUUCGCAUGUUGAAAAUAUUAAAGAAUUUCGGUUAUCGAUGGGGAUGCGUUCCAUUAGGCAGUUGGCGGGGUAACGGCCCACCAAACCUACGAUGGAUAGGGGUUCUGAGAGGAAGGUCCCCCACAUUGGAACUGAGACACGGUCCAAACUCCUACGGGAGGCAGCAGUGAGGAAUAUUGGUCAAUGGACGAAGGUCUGAACCAGCCAAGUAGCGUGAAGGAUGACUGCCCUAUGGGUUGUAAACUUCUUUUAUAUGGGAAUAAAGUUCUCCACGUGUGGAGUUUUGUAUGUACCAUUAUGAAUAAGCAUCGGCUAACUCCGUGCCAGCAGCCGCGGUAAUACGGAGGAUGCGAGCGUUAUCCGGAUUUAUUGGGUUUAAAGGGAGCGUAGGUGGACUGGUAAGUCAGUUGUGAAAGUUUGCGGCUCAACCGUAAAAUCGCAGUUGAUACUGUCAGUCUUGAGUACAGUAGAGGUGGGCGGAAUUCGUGGUGUAGCGGUGAAAUGCUUAGAUAUCACGAAGAACUCCGAUUG